UACGAGGGGGGCAAGUGUUGUUCGGAAUCACUGGGCGUAAAGGGAGCGUAGGCGGAUGUUUAAGUUAGAUGUUUAAAACCGGGGCCUAACCUCGGAGCGGCAUCCAAAACUGGGCAUCUUGAAUAGGUCAGAGGCUGGUGGAAUUGGAGGUGUAGCGGUGGAAUGCGUAGAUAUCGUGAAGAAGACCAGUGGCGAAGGCGGGUCUCUGGACAGUUCCUGACACUGAGGCACGAAGGCCAGGGGAGCAAACGGG
rnacentral:rRNA from 1 species